rnacentral:pre_miRNA from 1 species
UUUCAUCACCCUACCAGAUUGCUCUUAUUCUUUAGUUGGAGCUUAAGCAUCAGCUUUGGAGGUACCCUCAUGGGUGUGAAUUA